rnacentral:rRNA from 1 species
GCAGUAGGAUAGGCGAAGCGUGCGAUUGGAUUGCACGUCUAAGCAGUAAGGCUGAGUAUUAGGCAAAUCCGGUACUCGUUAAGGCUGAGCUGUGAUGGGGAGAAGACAUUGUGUCUUCGAGUCGUUGAUUUCACACUGCCGAGAAAAGCCUCUAGAUAGAAAAUAGGUGCCCGUACCGCAAACCGACACAGGUAGUCAAGAUGAGAAUUCUAAGGUGAGCGAGCGAACUCUCGUUAAGGAACUCGGCAAAAUGACCCCGUAACUUCGGGAGAAGGGGUGCUCUUUAGGGUUAACGCCCAGAAGAGCCGCAGUGAAUAGGCCCAAGCGACUGUUUAUCAAAAACACAGGUCUCUGCUAAACCGUAAGGUGAUGUAUAGGGGCUGACGCCUGCCCGGUGCUGGAAGGUUAAGAGGAGUGGUUAGCUUCUGCGAAGCUACGAAUCGAAGCCCCAGUAAACGGCGGCCGUAACUAUAACGGUCCUAAGGUAGCGAAAUUCCUUGUCGGGUAAGUUCCGACCCGCACGAAAGGCGUAACGAUUUGGGCACUGUCUCAACGAGAGACUCGGUGAAAUCAUAGUACCUGUGAAGAUGCAGGUUACCCGCGACAGGACGGAAAGACCCCGUGGAGCUUUACUGUAGCCUGAUAUUGAAAUUCGGCACAGCUUGUACAGGAUAGGUAGGAGCCUUUGAAACGUGAGCGCUAGCUUACGUGGAGGCGCUGGUGGGAUACUACCCUAGCUGUGUUGGCUUUCUAACCCGCACCACUUAUCGUGGUGGGAGACAGUGUCAGGCGGGCAGUUUGACUGGGGCGGUCGCCUCCUAAAAGGUAACGGAGGCGCUCAAAGGUUCCCUCAGAAUGGUUGGAAAUCAUUCAUAGAGUGUAAAGGCAUAAGGGAGCUUGACUGCGAGACCUACAAGUCGAGCAGGGUCGAAAGACGGACUUAGUGAUCCGGUGGUUCCGCAUGGAAGGGCCAUCGCUCAACGGAUAAAAGCUACCCCGGGGAUAACAGGCUUAUCUCCCCCAAGAGUUCACAUCGACGGGGAGGUUUGGCACCUCGAUGUCGGCUCAUCGCAUCCUGGGGCUGUAGUCGGUCCCAAGGGUUGGGCUGUUCGCCCAUUAAAGCGGUACGCGAGCUGGGUUCAGAACGUCGUGAGACAGUUCGGUCCCUAUCCGUCGUGGGCGUAGGAAAUUUGAGAGGAGCUGUCCUUAGUACGAGAGGACCGGGAUGGACAUACCUCUGGUGUACCAGUUGUCGUGCCAACGGCAUAGCUGGGUAGCUAUGUGUGGACGGGAUAAGUGCUGAAAGCAUCUAAGCAUGAAGCCCCCCUCAAGAUGAGAUUUCCCAACUUCGGUUAUAAGAUCCCUCAAAGAUGAUGAGGUUAAUAGGUUCGAGGUGGAAGCAUGGUGACAUGUGGAGCUGACGAAUACUAAUCGAUCGAAGACUUAAUCAAAA